GUGGGGAAUAUUGGGCAAUGGGCGCAAGCCUGACCCAGCAACGCCGCGUGAAGGAAGAAGGCUUUCGGGUUGUAAACUUCUUUUACCAGGGACGAAAUAAAUGACGGUACCUGGAGAAUAAGCCACGGCUAACUACGUGCCAGCAGCCGCGGUAAUACGUAGGUGGCAAGCGUUGUCCGGAUUUACUGGGUGUAAAGGGCGCGUAGGCGGGAAAGCAAGUCAGGAGUGAAAUCUAUGGGCUCAACCCAUAAAUUGCUUUUGAAACUGUUUUUCUUGAGUGAUGGAGAGGCAAGCGGAAUUCCUAGUGUAGCGGUGAAAUGCGUAGAUAUUAGGAGGAACACCAGUGGCGAAGGCGGCUUGCUGGACAUUAACUGACGCUGAUGCGCGAAAGCGUGGGGAGCAAACAGGAUUAGAAACCCGGGUAGUCC
rnacentral:rRNA from 1 species